GUUCGCUUCAGCGCACAGACACCAAAAUUGUAAUGAUACAGAGAGGAUUAGCAUGGCCACGCGCAAGGAUGGCACACAAACUCAGGAAGCAUUCCAUACUUUA
ensembl:snRNA U6 U6 spliceosomal RNA